UUUAUUUAAUGAUACAAAACCCUGACAGGUUUCCGCGCGCAUCUUCGUCACUACGCCGCCGCUGACCUCAAACUCUCCGGCGAGCAAAUAAAAGAAUAAGUUUGAAAUAUAUGCUAUAGUCUGAAUUGAAUUGGUCAAAGUUCAUUUGGAGUAUGUGCCUAUGAGGGGUUAGGUGAAGCUUAAUACUGAUGGAGCUCGUGAGAAAUCAACUAACCGAAUUGCUGCAGGAGGUUUAAUUCGGGAUAGUGAAAGCUCCUGGCUAGGUGGGUUUGCAGCUAAUCUGCUUAGAGUUUUUCAUGGUCUUAGUUUUUGUUGGCAAAAGGCUUCUGUAGGGUGAUUCUAGAAAUUGAUAAUCAAAGUGUGGUCACAAAUUUCAGUAAGCGCAAUGGGAGGAUUAAUGGUCUUCGUCAGAUUCUCCAUCGUAUUUUUCAGCUCAAGCUAAAUUGGCAUGUCGAAGUUGUCCAUGUUUACCGAGAAAGCAACCGUUGUGCAGAUAUGCGUGCUAAUCUAGGAUCGUCCGUGUCAGCUGGGUUUCAUGAGGUUACUGCUAAUCCAAAUUGUGUUUUUAGCUUAUUGCAGCAGGACUGGCAGGGUAUUCCCCUAGAAUGGUUAGGCUGUGAGUUUGUUUUUUGGCCUGUUGCCCCGUGUCUUAGUUUGAAAAAGUUGCAAUGCAACUUAUACUUGAGGGGUGGUCUUAGUGUUGGUGUUCAUUCAGGAGGAUUUAUGGUGGGAGCGAGAGGAAUGGAAGUUGCUUGGCGAAUUUAGGUCUGAGCAGUGAUUCUAUGGCACUGUAUGUUUUCACUAUAUGCAUAGAAAGAGAAAGGCCAAGAGUAGCUUCAUAGCUUUGAAGUUCUAUUUGAGCAAGGCGUAUGACUGAUUAAAUUGGAGAUCUAUAGAUGCAGUGAUGGAAAAAUUUUGUUUUUCCUAUUCAGUUCAGGAAUUUAAUCAUGAAAUGCUUAUCAUCGAUUUCAUAUUCGGUUAUGAUCAACGAGCGCCCUCGGGACCGAUUCCUCCCCUAUCUUCAUUUAUAUAUAUCAUGUGUGCGGAGGCUUUUCCAGGUUUGAUAUAUAAUGAAGUUUAGAAUCAGAAAUUACAUCGUAUCACAGUUGGUCGAAAUGAGCCAGAGGUAUUACUUUUUUUUUUGCAGAUGAUUCGGUCAUUUUUGCCAGAGUUGACAGAGAGGGUUAGAAAUAUAACAUGUUAUCAAAUGCUACAAGAAUGUGUCCGAUUAGGUGAUCAACUUUGAUAAAAACAACAAUUACUUUCAGUAGAAAUGUAAGUAAUGUGAGCAAUAGAUUGAUUGCUGGAGCCUAGUGGGGAGAUCUAGAAAAGAGAGAUGUCCAACAUCUUAAUGAAUGAUUCUGGAAAAAAUGUUCUGAUGGAAAGAGAAAUUACAUCUUUCAAAGGCGGUAAAAGAGGUUCUUCUAUUAUCAGUCAUGCAAGCGAUUCCUACAACGACCGCAUUUAAGAUUCUGAUCGCCAUCGUUAAGGAAAUUCAGAGCUUAUUGUCUAGUUUCUAGUGGAACUGUGGGGACUGAGGAAAGGAACGAGUUAGGUCACUCAGUUGGGAAAAGUUGUGUAUGGCAAAAAGAUAACAGAGGUUUGGAUCUCAAAAACAUCAAGUGCUUUAACAAUGUUAUGUUAGCCAAGUGAGGAUGUUGCAUGAUAUAUGACGAAACCUCAUUGACAAUAAGGAUUCUAAAAGCCAAAUACUUUCCUCAACAAUCUCUUGAAAGCUAAGCUUGCACCAAGUACAAGUUGCACCUGGAGUAGUGUGCAUGGAGCUAUCCUGUUAUUCAAAAAGAUGAUGAGGUGGAAGAUAGGAAUUGAACAUGAGUUCCGGUUUUCAAGGAUCUAUGGCUUCCUCGCAAUAACGGAGGUCGAUGAAUUUGAGUGUUUGUGACCUCGUUAGUGCUAAUGGGAAGGUUGGGUUACUCAUAUUAUUGAUGAAGUGUACAGUGAGUUUGACACUGGUCAAAUAAAGAAACUGUUGUGGCAAAACUCGAGUCACUGUGAUUUGUUAAUGUGGCAUUACUCUAAGAAUGGUUUCUUCUCUAUCAAGGCAGCCUACUACCUCGCUGUAACGAAGCUCUCGAAGGCUAGCACUUCUAGCUCCUCUGAAUAUCAUCUGCAACAUGUUCUCAUGGAAUCAAGUUUGGCGUCUUGAAGUUCCUCUGAAAUUCAAACACUUUGUGUGGCGAGUGCUCUAGCAAUAGUAUUUCGAGCAAAGUGCCAUCUUAUGGAGGACUGGACAUGGAGACGGUUUGUGUCAGCAGUGCAGCGAAUUGAAAAUAAUGGAUCACGUAUUUAAGGACUGUCCAACUGGCCUUGGGUCUGCGGUUACUGGUUUGCAAGCUCUUUCGUAUUGGACACGGCUUGAGUUGAAAUGCUGAGGAUAUUGAGCGGUAUAUUUGAUCCGCUUGUAAUUAGUUAUGUUUUGGGGGAGUAGUGGAAGUGGAGUGUGGCAGAAUUCUUGACACUAGCUAGAACACACUGUUGGAACUUCAGGCAGUGACUAAACCCAAUGGUACAAGGGCUAAGAAGGAUAGGGUGCGACGUUAAUGGGCACGUCGGAUAAUCACAUAAAUUUUCGCUGUCAUAUAAAUAUUUUUAACCUACUCUUAAACCCGCCUAUUGAUCGUAUUGAUUAUAUAAUUAUUGAGAAUGUUUCCUCUUUUCCUGAUCAA